rnacentral:tRNA from 1 species
UCCGUGAUAGCUCAGUAGGUAGAGCAACUGUUUCGUAAACAGUAGGUCCCGGGUUCGAACCCUGGUCACGGAA